GUCCCGCCUCCUGCCAUCCUGAGGCUGGAGAGAAGGGAGCUGACCAGCGCCGGGGGCUGGCAGCGGCGCGGACCAGUGAGGCCGUCUGCUUGCGGCCUGAGCCAGCCCGGGGCCCCGUCCUCCCGGACGGGCACCAAUCAGCCCCGGGCCCCGGCGCCUGGCACGGAUGCCGGUGCCCCCAGGGAGCGCCCCUGAGCCCCGGCCUCGCCGAGAGCCGCGCCCGGACAGGGGCUGAGCGCUCCCACGGCUCGAGCAGCCACCACCAAGGGGACCAUGCCGCAUUUCCUGGACUGGUUUGUGCCCGUCUAUCUCAUGAUUUCCAUCCUCAUCUUGGUCGGUUUCGGGGCCUGCAUCUACUACUUCGAGCCCGGCUUACGGGAAGCCCACAAGUGGCGAACGCAAAGACCUCUCCUGGACCGGAACUUCCGUAAGACCCUGAUGAUCAGGGACAACCUGGCCUUCGGGAGCCCCGACGUCUGAGGGCCGGCCCGGGCCCGGAGGCAGAGACAGAGGGCCAGAGGGUCCCGCAGCAGAGACAGAGGGCUGGAGAGCCCUGCCUCGAGGCCGGGUCAGCCCUAGUGCGGCUGCUCCUGGGCCCUCCCGAGCCACGGCGGGCCCCUCUGUCUGCUCUCCAGCCCUGUCCCUGCUCCCUGCCUGGCUUAGAGACCCUCCCCACCGUGUCCUCCCCAUCCCCUCCCUAGCAUCUGUCCCACAGCGAUGGCCCCAUGGCUCUUUGCCUGCCCAGGACGCCGGUGUCUCUCCCAGAGCCUUGGAGCAGGGGACAAAGUUCCAUCCCCUCCCUGAGCCCCGGAUAUCCGGUGUUGGCCAAAGAUGCCCCAUCCCCGCCCCCGUCCCUUCUGGACAAUCCAAGACUCGCCAGAGGAGAUGGGCAGUGGCAGGCCGGGGUCUCAUGCCCACCGCUCCUUGGGAUGAGCUCUUCCUCUGCUCCCGGGAUCCUACAAGAAAGAACAGCUUCUGGGCAAAUGGGGAGUCUGUGCCCAAUUCUGUGCCAAUCUAUUGCUGGUGCCCGUUGGUCCUAUAGUCCCCACAUGUCCCCCCCAUCUAGUGCCAAUAGCCACACCCAAAAUGUGAGUCAUUCCCUCUCCCACCAUGGGUGGGUGGCCAUCCAGCUCUGCUGAGCCCCUCCCCCCACUGGGUGCGUGCAGGAGGGGCCCAGGCACUGCCAUUUCUAUCUGCCAUGAGCCACCGCUUCCCCAUUGGGGACCAUCACCCCGGCCCCCCAACACCACGAGAUCGGCCCCAGCCCCCCCGCAGGCCCACAGGCAAGACCCAGGCUCCCGUGGACUCCACUGGUGGUCAGGGCCUCCAGCCCGUGCGGGCCCAGGACAGGGCAUCCCUGAGACCUGUAUUCAUGGUUUCUGGGCAUGGUGAGCGUUUGUCAGAAGGGCAGGAACACUACGCAUGGGGGUGUCCGUGAGAACCUGGGGGUGAGUGGAUGGGGAGAUAUAAGUGAGCCCACGUGGGCCUGGGCUGCUGAGGGCACUGAGGGCACCGAGGGCACACUCAAGAUUGUUUCUCUUUGGGCGGGAGCCCCGAGGGCUUCACUGAAUCUCCUUGGGCCAUAGAGCUGAGACUGGGAAAGGUGGGUGUUCACCUCAGGAGAGGGUGAGGACCCCCCUUUAGGCUUCUCCGGACUCCCCUUCCUGAUCUGUAACCUCCUCCCAAUGCAACCCAGAAGCUGAGGACAGGACUUAGUGCAGAUCUGAGGCCCCAUGGGCCAGGAUCCCAUGCUGCCCUGUCGGAGCCAUAUGUGGGUCUACACCUCUAGCACCGCAGCCCUGCGGGUCACCUUCACUACCACCAGCCUCCCAGCCCUGCGGCUGGCUCUUGUCCCGGGACGUCAGUUGUGAGCAGGAAAUGUGGCUCUACAAUCUCUCUAUCUCUAUCUCCCUGUCUGUGACUCUAACCCUAAAUUUGCGCCUCCCGACUCUCUCUCUUGUUUCUCUCUCUCUGUUUUUCUCAAUCUCCCUGUCUCUCUGUCUCUGUCUGUCUGUCUCUAUCUCCCUCUCUGUCUGUCUCUCCUUGUUUCUGUCUGCCUCUCGGUCUCUGUCUCUGUUUC
rnacentral:lncRNA from 1 species